GGUCAGUGAUGAAAAUAGCCAAAUCUGCGCAUCAGAAGACCUUCCAGUCCACCUGAAGCAUAAUCUCGCUAGUUCUGAGA